AUGUGUAUGAAUAUCUGCCUAUGUGUACCAAGUGCAUUCCCGGUCAGAAAAGAGCAUCAGAUCCCCAGGAACUGGGAUCAUAGACAGCUGUGAGCUACCACGUCGGUCCUCUGCAAGAACAGCAAACGCCCUCAACCACCAAGUCAUCUCUUCAGUCCCAAAUGUGCCAUCUAAACAACAGGGUGCUUGCUACAUGGUCCAGGUCGGCCCUCCAGCCUCAGCCUCCCAUGAUUAUAGGCACAUAUACCACCAGCGAAGUGCCUUACCUGUCCUGCCUAAUACAGCCACGCUCUGCUUAACGAUGGGGAAAAUGAGAAGAACAUCAUCAGGAGAUUUUGUCAUGAGCCCGUCAGAGAUUGCUCACUAAGACGGUGCCGUGUGGCAAGGCAAUAUAUGGAAGCGCCUUUUCUUCCAUGGUUUUAUUUUGA